AGUGAACGCUGGCGGUAGGCCUAACACAUGCAAGUCGAACGGCAGCACAGUAAGAGCUUGCUCUUACGGGUGGCGAGUGGCGGACGGGUGAGGAAUACAUCGGAAUCUACUUUUUCGUGGGGGUUAACGUAGGGAAACUUACGCUAAUACCGCCUACGACCUACGGGUGAAAGCAGGAGAUCUUUCGACCUUGCGCGAUUGAAUGAGCCGAUGUCGGAUUAGCUAGUUGGCGGGGUAAAGGCCCACCAAGGCGACGAUCCGUAGCUGGUCUGAGAGGAUGAUCAGCCACACUGGAACUGAGACACGGUCCAGACUCCUACGGGAGGCAGCAGUGGGGAAUAUUGGACAAUGGGCGCAAGCCUGAUCCAGCCAUACCGCGUGGGUGAAGAAGGCCUUCGGGUUGUAAAGCCCUUUUGUUGGGAAAGAAAAGCAGCAGGUUAAUACCCCGCUGUUCUGACGGUACCCAAAGAAUAAGCACCGGCUAACUUCGUG
rnacentral:rRNA from 1 species